AGUGAACGCUGGCGGUAGGCCUAACACAUGCAAGUCGAACGGCAGCACAGUAAGAGCUUGCUCUUACGGUUGGCGAGUGGCGGACGGGUGAGGAAUACAUCGGAAUCUACUUUUUCGUGGGGGAUAACGUAGGGAAACUUACGCUAAUACCGCAUACGACCUACGGGUGAAAGCAGGGGAUCUUCGGACCUUGCGCGAUUGAAUGAGCCGAUGUCGGAUUAGCUAGUUGGCGGGGUAAAGGCCCACCAAGGCAACGAUCCGUAGCUGGUCUGAGAGGAUGAUCAGCCACACUGGAACUGAGACACGGUCCAGACUCCUACGGGAGGCAGCAGUGGGGAAUAUUGGACAAUGGGCGCAAGCCUGACCCAGCCAUACCGCGUGGGUGAAGAAGGCCUUCGGGUUGUAAAGCCCUUUUGUUGGGAAAGAAAAGCAGCAGGUUAAUACCCCGCUGUUCUGACGGUACCCAAAGAAUAAGCAACGGCUAACUUCGUG
rnacentral:rRNA from 1 species